rnacentral:rRNA from 1 species
AAUGAACGCUGGCGGCAUGCCUUACACAUGCAAGUCGAACGGCAGCAUGACCUAGCUUGCUAGGUUGAUGGCGAGUGGCGCACGGGUGAGUAAUGCAUCGGAACGUGCUUUUUGGUGGGGGAUAACGUAGCGAAAGUUACGCUAAUCCCGCAUAUUCUCUGAGGAGGAAAGCAGGGGACCUUCGGGCCUUGCGCUAGAAGAGCGGCCGAUGUCGGAUUAGCUAGUUGGUGAGGUAAAGGCUCACCAAGGCAACGAUCCGUAGCGGGUCUGAGAGGAUGAUCCGCCACACUGGGACUGAGACACGGCCCAGACUCCUACGGGAGGCAGCAGUGGGGAAUUUUGGACAAUGGGCGCAAGCCUGAUCCAGCCAUGCCGCGUGAGUGAAGAAGGCCUUCGGGUUGUAAAGCUCUUUCGGCUGGGAAGAAAUCGCACCCUCUAAUACAGGGUGUGGAUGACGGUACCAGAAUAAGAAGCACCGGCUAACUACGUG